UACAUAGGUAGCGAGCGUUAUCCGGAAUAACUGGGUGUAAAGGGAGUGUAGGUGGAGAUGCAAGUCUGACGUGAAAGCCCGUGGCUUAACUGCGGGAUUGCGCCAGAAACUGUAUGUCUAGAGUACGAGAGAGGCAAGUGGAAUUCCUAGUGUAGCGGUAGAAUGCGUAGAGAUUAGGAGGAACACCGGAGGCGAAGGCGGCUUGCUGGCUCGCAACUGACACUGAGACUCGAAAGUGUGGGGAG
rnacentral:rRNA from 1 species